rnacentral:misc_RNA from 1 species
GAUGAUGAUGAUGAUGAUGAUGAUGAGGAUGAAGAAGAAGAACCAGAGAAAUGGAAAAGACACUACUCGUCAAAGCAUAGGAUAUUGCUGGUUGGAGAAGGAGACUUCUCCUUCUCUCUUUGCUUAGCCAGGGCUUUUGGUUCUGCGCAUAACAUGGUUGCCACUACUAUUGACACUCAAGAAAACAUAGAGAAAAAAUACAGUAAUGGAGUAGCAAAUGUGAGGGAACUAGAAGACAGGGGAUGCUUGGUUUUGUAUGGAGUGGAUGCAAAGGAGAUGAGCCAACACUUCUUCUUGAGGACUCAAAGGUUUGAUCGGAUUGUGUACAAUUUCCCUCAUGUUGGUUUCCUUUACCGUGAAGGUAGCUACUGCCAGAUUCAGUUGAAUAAGAGAUUGAUAAAGGGCUUUUUAUCCAAUUCCAAAGUGCUGUUAAAGGAGGACAAUGGUGAGAUUCAUGUAACACACAAGGAAGGGGAUCCUUAUGACAAAUGGGAUCUAGUAAAGAAAGCAGAGAAGAUAGGCCUGGUUAGGCAUGACAUUGUACCCUUCUCCAAGAAUGAUUAUCCAGGGUAUAACAACAAGCGAGCCCAUGGGAACCUCGCCGAUGCCCCCUUUAACCUUGGCUAUUGCAGUACUUACAAGUUCAAGCUCAGUUACUCUGUCAACUCCUCACAGAAUAACAAGAAGGAAGUGCCAGCAUUCGAGGGUAAAUAACUGCUUAGCAAUUCUUCAUUAGAAUUAAGGUAACUAUUACUCAAAAUGUUGCCCUCGUAUGUUUAUAAAGCUGAACUUUUCUUAAUCUUAAUCUUGUUAUUAGCCAUGGAAUAUGGAAAACUGGAUCACAUAGUUUAAGGCUGGAUCACAUAGCCAUGGAAUAUGGAAC